GUUCAAUACUCAAAUUGGUAAAACCUCGAAGGGCACAAUAUCCUAAUUCAGAUUUCAAUCCGAUAAGCCCCGAAGGACAUAAUAUUCUAAUCCAAAUUUCAAUCCAAUAAAGUCUCGUAGGGCACGAUAUCUUAAUCCAGAUUUUAAUUUGAUAAAAUUCCAAAGGGUACGAUAUCCUAAUCUGAAUUUCAAUCCGAUAAAGUCUCGAAGGGCAUGAUAUCCUAAUCCAAAUUUCAGUCCGAUAAAACCCCAU
rnacentral:lncRNA from 1 species